UUUGUUUACAGUCCAAUUGCUUCCUUUAUUCACAAACUCUUCAAGUGCUUUGUUGACUGAUUGAAAUGCUUCAUUUAUAUUAUGAUCAUUGUUUCCAUUUGGUAAAGAAAUGUAGUAUUUACUUCUGAAAUGAGGGACAGUUUUGUCUUGUUCACCAUUAUCAACGUCCCUCAUCAUUUCUACUCUUCCAAUGACACUCCAUUUAAUACUAUGGUGUUUUUCACGUUGAAAUAUUAAUUCCUUUUCUACAUCAUCUUUUACAUUUGCUAAAAAUUGUAGAAGAUCAUAUUUUUCGUUGGCUGUUGGAAUAAUGUCAACCUGUUUUACUAAAUCUUUGAGUGCGCUUUUCUUAAAUUUAAAUCUUUUCUGCUCUUUUUUCUUCUGAUUCAUUUCAGGUUCUUGAACGCUGUUUCCUGAGAGCUGAGGAUUGCGACCUCCAGUUUGAUUUAAGGGAUGGUUAGCAGUAACAUGUUGGAAAAGACUAUCAUAGUCAUGAAAAGGUAUUCCACAAUGCUUACAGGUAUGUCCUAAUUCUUUUAUAUGUACAGUUGAAGCUACUUUACUUCUACUAGCAGACACAGGUUUAGUUUUUUCCAGUUUUUCACACUUUUCUUUAUGCCUAUUCAAAGUAGUUUUUCUAGUGUACGUUUUAUUACAUUUUUCUCACCUAAAAGUUGAAAAGUGACUAUGUAAGUGACGAUGUAGUGUUCUCUUAUGUUUGUACACUUUAUCACAGACAUCACAUAUGAAUGAGUUUUUUUCGGGUUUUUGUCUUUUCCUUUCAAUGUCUUCAUAGCGUUUUCGUUUACGUUUUCUUGAUUUAGAAUUAUAAUCUUGUUCGAUUUCAUCAGCAGCUUGCACUAACAAAUUCUCAUCACAGUCCCUGAACUCGGUACAAGUAUCAGCAAUUUGAUUUCUUAAUGUGUGAAGUUGGUUUUCUAAUCGUUUAUUUCCAUGCUGAUUACUUUUCAUAACAUAGUCUAUGAAUGCUUGAGCCAUGUUUUAUAGAUAAUUAUUCCACAACAUAUCAAUGUAAACUGAUUGAAUUUUAUGAUAAAGAUGUUCUUUAUAUAGCUGGAUUAACAUUAUAAUCUGAUGACAUCAUUAUUCGUUUUUCACAUGCUGGUGUAUAAAGUAUGGUGGCAUCUACCACACUAUACAUGGUUGAUGCAAUACGGAUCACUAUAUUGGAAAGGAUAACCACUUAUUCUUUAAGGUUUUGAAAGACAGACAACUAACACUGGUACUUGAUUUAGUUUAAGAGCUAUUUGACUGAGAUUGAAAUGUUGAAAGUUAAAUGGAUUGAGCUCAUAACUUCCAGCUGCAGCUUCAGCAUCAACAAAUCCGAUGACGACACGGGAACGUAAUGUGCUGCUUCUACAAUGGUCAACCAAUUUCCAACACUGUCUGCAGGCAAUCUCCGUAAAAGAGGUUUCUUUUCACCCUCAACUAUGGAUUCUCCACAUAUAUUUGAAUACAGAGGUUCAACCCACAGAUAUCGGGAAAAGAUGUCAAUGACAAACAGAAGAUAGUGCACACCUGUAUUUUCACUGGAUAUGUUAGAGACAUCAGCCAAAUCCACAUCAAAUUGAUCAUACAUUCCAGAAACAACGACCCGGGGUCUUUUGAAGUGCCGUCUAAGCUCUUUUCUCAAACUAUAACUAUCUUGAUUGUGAAGCCAUUUUCGAAUUUUGUGUUUUCCAAUAUUGGAUAUUCCUUUAGAUUUCAGAACUCUGUGAAGUUUAUCUGGACCUAAAUAUGAACCUGCUUUGGACAAGUGAUAAUAUGUUUUCUCAAGCAGUUUUUCUGUGCUCAUCUUGAAAGAAAAUCAUAGAAUAAAAGUCGAAAGGAGAUGAUGUGCUUAUAUAUUGUAAACAAAUAUAUUUGUAGUA